rnacentral:rRNA from 1 species
CUACGUGCCAGCAGCCGCGGUAAUACGCAGGGCGCGAGCGUUGUCCGGAAUUAUUGGGCGUAAAGAGCUUGUAGGCGGUUUGUCGCGUCUGCUGUGAAAGGCCGGGGCUUAACCCCGUGUAUUGCAGUGGGUACGGGCAGACUAGAGUGCAGUAGGGGAGACUGGAAUUCCUGGUGUAGCGGUGGAAUGCGCAGAUAUCAGGAGGAACACCGAUGGCGAAGGCAGGUCUCUGGGCUGUAACUGACGCUGAGAAGCGAAAGCAUGGGGAGCGAACAGGAUUAGAUACCCUGGUAGUCCAUGCCGUAAACGUUGGGCACUAGGUGUGGGGGACAUUCCACGUUUUCCGCGCCGUAGCUAACGCAUUAAGCACUCCGCCUGGGGAGUACGACCGCAAGGUUGAAACUCAAAGGAAUUGACGGGGGCCCGCACAAGCGGUGGAGCAUGUGGUUUAAUUCGAAGCAACGCGAAGAACCUUACCAGGUCUUGACAUCCCUCUGACCGCUCUAGAGAUAGAGUUUUC